ACAACUGACAAUCAUUUUAAUUGUUUAAUAUUAAAUACAUUAUUGCACAAUUAAGUCAAAUCUAUCCUUUAUUUCUCUGUGUGGAAGAAACCAGUUCAUUCAUUGUGUAUAGGGAGAAACAAAACUGUAGCAACCAAAACCGGUUCAGAGAGGGGAAAAACAAAAACUGUAACAACCAAAACUGGAACUGUGUCAAAUGCAAUAAGAGCAGUGUUUAUUUUGAGGAAAUACCAUCUGACAGUGAUGCUCCAUAUGAGACGGCAUACAAUAUACACAUACAGGAUCUAGAAGAUGAGGAUGGAGAAGUUAUUCCUUCAAAAGCAGUAGACUCAUUGGACUUUCUGGAGUCCGAUUUGAUGGAUAAUAUGGAAAACAAUAAUGAAAGCAAUGCGCUGAUUGUCAUGGGAAAUGUUACUGGUCUUUUGCAAAUACAAGACACAAACACAGAGACCAAAGACAUCACCAUAUGCUACUGUUCAAACAACACCAUGGUUAUUAUGGGUCAAAAUGACAGGAAUACAGGGUGUGUGUGGACUGCAAUGUUUCCCAGUGAAGCCUUUAAUAAAUUCC